GAUGAACGCUGGCGGCGUGCCUAGUACAUGCAAGUCGAGCGAACAGACGAGGAGCUUGCUCCUCUGACGUUAGCGGCGGACGGGUGAGUAACACGUGGAUAACCUACCUAUAAGACUGGGAUAACUUCGGGAAACCGGAGCUAAUACUGGAUAACAUGUUGAACCGCAUGGUUCAACAGUGAAAGACGGUUUUGCUGUCACUUAUAGAUGGAUCCGCGUCGCAUUAGCUAGUUGGUAAGGUAACGGCUUACCAAGGCAACGAUGCGUAGCCGACCUGAGAGGGUGAUCGGCCACACUGGAACUGAGACACGGUCCAGACUCCUACGGGAGGCAGCAGUAGGGAAUCUUCCGCAAUGGGCGAAAGCCUGACGGAGCAACGCCGCGUGAGUGAAGAAGGUCUUCGGAUCGUAAAACUCUGUUAUUAGGGAAGAACAAAUGUGUAAGUAACUAUGCACGUCUUGACGGUACCUAAUCAGAAAGCCACGGCUAACUACGUG
rnacentral:rRNA from 1 species